AAAUGUGCCAGUACCUUCACAUAAUAAACGACAAUGAUUUUAUAGACGGGCACGAAGACAGAUCAACAUCACUGAGUGGAGCGGAUGAAACGCCCUUGAAUGUGGCAGCGGUGCAGGUAAUGAGUCCCGAAAUUCUCAGAAAAUAGAAAUGGAGGCCGAACCUGCAGAUGUGGAUGGCAGUGAUGUGAAUGAUGGAGCAUCUACACAGAAAAGAUGCUGGAAUCCAGAAAUUUCUUCACCUGGGGCCUACUGGGGAUGGCAAUAAACAAAAACUAACCAAGCUGUGGGAAUACAAACCUGUAGACCUUUAGCUGAACCACUAUAAUUGAUGUUCUGUUUCUUAUGCCUGUUCAGUGUUUUGAUCAGUUAUAUAUGUAAUUGUUUCUUUUUUGUCCUGUUUGAUUGUGCAGGUCAGUAACUUUUUUUUUCUAUUUAAAUAAAUUCUGUUUAAAUAAAGAUGCUUCUUUGUGUAGCUUUCUGUACCAUUUAACAUUUAAGGCUAAAGGUGUGAAAUGUGCAAUGCACUGCAACUUUGUAGAGUGUCUUACAUGUGUCUACAACCUCUAUUUAAAGAUCAAAGAUCACAUAUUAAAAUA